UUUGGGUUUCUGAAUGAGCAGAGAACUUAGAGAGUGUUCUGCUGCCAUGUUUCCCAGUUACUUCUCUGUUCUUUCAUUUACUUGUUCCCUCCACAACUCACCAUAGACAGUCACGCAGCAAACAUUUAGUAUACCAUGAGUGGAACUGAACCAAAUUACCCCUGACCUAGAAAUCAAGCCCAUUGCUGUUCCUAGAAGGAAGAGACCAUUAGGGAAGCCUGAGCCUGGGUUGAUCUCUACAUGAUACUGAGAAGCUAGGGGCUGGAGAAAUGGCUCAGUGACCAAGUGCUUGCUGUGCAAGAGUGAGGACCUAGGCCGGGAUUCCCAGCAUGCAUGAAAAGGCUGGGUGCAGUGGCACACACCUGUAACCCCAGUGCUAGGACAUGGGGACCAGCAGAUCCCGGGGACUCCUUGACCAGUCAGUCUAGCCAAAAUGACAUUCUUCAGGUUUCGUGAGAGACCCUACCUCCCAACGUGAGACAGAGCUUCGUCUGUUGAAGGUAGUUGAGGUCAACCUCCAGCCCCCAUGUGUGCAUGCAUAGGUGAGCACACUUGCAUCUGCACACAUGCAUGUACACACUACAUGCAUGCACAUACAAAAGAAGUCAUCACUGAAUUGAUAGCAAUUGCCAAGACCUACCAUUGUAGGUAUGUGGGUUUUUCUUUUUUUUAAUCAUCUGUUUGGAGAUAAAGGCAAACAUAGUUGCACAUAAAAUAAUACUGUGUCUGGGGCCGUUUUAAAAUAACAGAACAGUGAAAUGGAAGUGAGCAGGGUGAAGUUCUGAUGAAAUUCUAAGGUGAUUGGUGGGCCCCCAGGGGUCCUGGCACCACCUUCUCCUCUUUGUAUGUUUGACCUUUCACAGUAUCAAGUGCAAGAUAACAUGUAGCCUAAGUUUCCCAAGGACCCAUGUGACUUUCUUCACUCCCUCCUUAGAAGUCCCUUGGUCCGGGGUACCCUGGAUAUGGAGAUGACUGCUUAGGUACAGAGGCCUCAGGCCAAGGCAGCUCACACUGAGCAACAGUGGCACCCCAGCUGGCACAAGCACUGUUGCUCCUCGUGCCUUCUCAUCCCAGUAUCCAUCCAUCUGCUCACUGGUUCCAUUUCUUCCUCCAAAAUCUCUCUCAGAUUCACCGUCCUUAACUUCAUCUUCUCUCCUCAGCAUUUGUCUAAGAUGCCAUCCUUUCCCCCAACCCAGUGGCCAUCCAGGCCACCUCCUCUCCCCCUCAGUUUCUCACACUCCUUUUCUUCUCAAGUCCACACCAGAUCCUCAGAAGUUGAGAGCAUCAGAUGGAUGCUUGGUGCUCAGAACUGGUGAUUUAAACACACCAGGUCCCCGCCCUUGGCCUUCCAAGCAGGGACACCAAAACCAAAUGCAUGGAUAGCCCUGCUAGACAUUGUGAUUAUGGACAAUACUGUGAUGUGCCAUCCAGGUGGUGGUGACAGGCCCUAACCAUCCUGGUGGCUGUAGAUGCCAGCGCCUGUGAAAGCCAUGUCUCUGUCGCCAAACCCAGUCCUUUGUAGAGAUGACAAUUGUGACCUGGGGUGGAGGCAGCUUGGUUCCUCUCAAGUUCCAGAGCUAAGGGCUACAGCUAGGCAGCUAGACUGCAAAAAGAAUGUCAGCCUACUCCUUCCAGAGAAAUCCCUGACUGAUCAGUUCCCCUGGCAGGGGACAGGGCAGAACUAGAAAGGACCCAAGAGGCAAGCCUGCUUCUCCUAGGCCCCUAGUCCCAGCCCAUGCCUAGGUAAGUGGAAAAGCAUUUCUGUUUAAUACUUCAGUCUCCACCCACUGCUUAAUGAAGAAAAGGGCUUUUCUGGGCCCCCUCCCCAGCCCCUUAGCCACCACACACAGCUUGAGCAGGCCCCACAGGGCCUUGAAAACCCAGCAAUUUGAUUUUCCCAGGCCCCUCCUAUCCCAAGUAGGGCCCAGAAGGCAGCUCCUCAGUCACGAAUCAGCCUGUGCGGCCAGCUCCAAACCUGGGCCUCUUGCCAGGGGUGUUAGAAGGGAAAAGCUGGGUUUCUAUGCUGUUCCCUGUGCCUCUGGCUCAGGCCUCACUGCCCUUGCCAAUGAGUCUUCCUCACCUCCAAGUCAACCCUGCAUCUCAUGGUCCAGCUCUGGGCCUGCCUGCCUUCACUGAGCAGCCUCAGAAAGAUGAUUAGAUGAACCCCAAGUUCUGCUGAUAGGGUACAGAAGCUGGCUGAUGAGAGGACAGACUAGCCAGAGUCAGGGUGGAAAGCUGUUGGGGACAUGAGUAGGCAGCAGGGGCCACUUCUGAAAUGCUCCUGACAUCCAGCACCCUGGGAGUCUGCCCCUACAGUCAGUCAACAAUAUGGAUGUGCCUGCUGCAGCUGAGGUUGAGAAUCCCCGCCAAGGAUGGAACCGCCCUGCCUGGUUUCCUCCCAGGCUGUCCUGGAGACCACCCAAGUGGACUCUAUCUGCUUGAGUUAAGCUAAACUCACUGUCUCCAAGCUGUACAGGUCUUCCUCUCUGGACUACUAAGCCCCAACAGCUGACCAUGGCAUGCAUCAGGGCCACAGGGAUUGAGGUGUAAGAAUGGAUUGGGGCAGAAGAUACUGAAGUGGCUCCCACCUGGACUGGUUCCUGAGAACACUGGCUUUGCCUGAACCAAAGGUAGUCACCUGCUCUGGGGACUUGACUGCGCACAUAUCUUGAGGAGGACUUCUAUUUGAC
ensembl:lncRNA